CAAGAAAUAGUUUAUUUAAAAUUUAAAUUUUGGAGAUUUAAGAUAAUUAUGAUAUUUUUCUUGA
rnacentral:tRNA from 1 species